CCUCUGUUUCCUGGCUGCAUCAUCCUGCUCUAGUGAACACACAAUCUGCCAACGGGACAAGAGUUGCACAGGAAACAAAUGCAUCAGUCAAGUAAUCGGUGAAUUGCUUAAGGCCUGGUUCACACUGGAUGUGUGGCGUGACUGCUGCAUCACGCUCCUCAUUUUAUCUACUCAGAUUGACAGAGAGGAUCUGCCCUUCACCUGAUGUAAUUAUAACCAACGCAGUUGCAGCCUCCACCUUCUCCACAUACAGCUACUGAUAUAGCUUUAGAUGUUUAUCGUGUAUUCAGAUGUAUGUCAAUGUCAUUAUCGUUUGCUGCGUGUGAACACUUCAAACAAUACAAACGAUGAAACGUGCCGUACGUCCACUGUGAAUCAGGCUUUACGUUAUCAGCAGGUGAGUGUUUCCUAAAGGAAUGAGAGACUCGUGACCGCAAGCUCACCGUAAUCCAAAUGUGAAAAGAGCGGAUGAAGAAUAACAACUUGAACCAGAUUGUUGACAUACAGAGCAGAGUACUACAGCAUCACGUCUCUAUCACAGUUGUGUGUUUAGAGUGACAAUGUUACGUACCUCCUCGGUGUAUUUGCCCACAUAGGAGUAAAUCUCGCUGAGGGAGCUCAUGGUGUUGAACUCAUUCAUGUGCAUCCGUGACUGUUCUGCCAAGUAGGCAUUCAUGUCCUGGUCGCUGAUCGCUUGCAUCUUACCGAUGUCCGAGUAGUAUCUAUUAAAAAGAAAGAAGAAGAAGAAGAAAAAAAAAAAAAGAGAGAGCAAGAAGCAAGCAUGAGCAUUGUUAGAUAAAGUGAAAUUUAGUGUGAAACAGAAUCACAGAUUUCCUCCAGUGCCGUGUUUUUACAGAGAUAGUGCUGCUGAUUUCCAUCAGAGCUCGAUGCUCUUUGAGGAUAUUUAACUAAUGUACGUAGCACGGAGGUAACAAGUGUGUUGCAUAGUAACAUAACUGAAAAUCAGUCAUGUUAGACACCGACAGGCCCUAGGAUUUAACUUUGAGCACAGUACAACAGUACACACACCCACACACACACUGCAUUGAGGUAAAGGCAAUCAGUCACUGUCAGGAGCAGCUGUGUUGCCCCUAUCAACUAUGUUAAUUAAAGCUGCUUAUUUACAUAUUAAAUUCCUGCAGCUUCAGCCGCUGGAGGACAGGCCCCGUGUUUGGCUGGCUGAUUUGGGGGAGUGUGUGAGAGAGAGAGAGAGGGGAGAUCUUUUGCCAGGAAAUAAGUCUUCAGAGCACAGGAAAAAGGCAGCUCUUGUAGCUGGGGAUGUCCUUGGCGUAAAGCAGCUUGUUGGAGGGUGAGUCCUUCCCAAGGCGGUGUUCUGAGGUGGAGCAGGAGUCCAUGAAGGUCUGAGCCACCACAGACAGGCAGGCAUCCGUGAUGCUGCUCUUGUGGAUGUCAAACACAAACUGGGGGUUCUUGAUCACAUUCACCCAGAAACGCAGAGGUGGUGGCUGGCUCUCAUUUUUCCAGCAGUGUCCAGAGGUCCUCACUGGAGCAGCACAGAGACACAGUUCAUAUCACCUUGUUUGUGCAAGUGGCUUCUAUAUUUUGCACCUGUCCAGAAUAAUAAAAACAUACAAGUGUGU